rnacentral:misc_RNA from 1 species
GAUGAAGAACGUAGCGAAAUGCGAUAAGUAGCGUGAAUUGCAGAAUUCAGUGAAUCAUCGAAUCUUUGAACGCACAUUGCGCCCCUUGGUAUUCCAUGGGGCAUGCCUGUUCGAGCGUCAUUUGUACCUUCAAGCUCUGCUUGGUGUUGGGUGUUUGUCUCGCCUCUGCGUGUAGACUCGCCUCAAAACAAUUGGCAGCCGGCGUAUUGAUUUCGGAGCGCAGUACAUCUCGCGCUUUGCACUCAUAACGACGACGUCCAAAAGUACAUUUUUACACUCUUGACCUCGGAUCAGGUAGGGAUACCCGCUGAACUUAAGCAUAUCAAUAAGCGGAGGA